rnacentral:rRNA from 1 species
GUCUAUGGCCAUGUCACCCUGAAAAAAUCCGAUGUCUCAUCUCGGAAGCUAAGCAGGGUUGGGCCUGGUUAGUACUUGGAUGGGAGACACCCUAGGAAGACUAGGUGCUGUAGGCA